rnacentral:rRNA from 1 species
CUACACAUGCAGUCGAACGGACCGAUCCCGUUGCAGCGGACUGAGGAUUCGUCUGACGUCCAAAGCGUGGGAUAGGUUAGUGGCGCACGGGUGAGUAACACGUAGGUGACCUGCCCCGAAGAGGGGGAUAACUGCUGGAAACGGCAGCUAAUACCCCAUGUGGUCGGCGAUUCGUUUCGCUGAUUAAAGCUUCGGCGCUUCGGGAGGGGCCUGCGGCCGAUUAGCUAGUUGGUGGGGUAAUGGCUCACCAAGGCGAUAAUCGGUAGCUGGUCUGAGAGGACGAUCAGCCACACUGGCACUGACACACGGGCCAGACUCCUACGGGAGGCAGCAGUGAGGAAUAUUGCGCAAUGGGCGAAAGCCUGACGCAGCAACGCCGCGUGGGCGAUGAAGGCCUUCGGGUUGUAAAGCCCUUUUCUGGGGGAAGAGGAAGGACGGUACCCCAGGAAUAAGUCUCGGCUAACUACGUGCCAGCAGCCGCGGUAAAACGUAGGAGGCAAGCGUUAUCCGGAUUUACUGGGCGUAAAGCGCGCGCAGGCGGUUCCGUAAGUUGGACGUGAAAUCUUUCGGCUCAACCGGGAGGGGUCGUCCAAUACUGCAGGACUUGAGGUCGGGAGAGGGAAGUGGAAUUCCCGGAGUAGUGGUGGAAUGCGUAGAUAUCGGGAGGAACACCAGUGGCGAAGGCGGCUUCCUGGCCCGUACCUGACGCUAAGGCGCGAAAGCGUGGGGAGCGAACGGGAUUAGAUACCCCGGUAGUCCACGCCGUAAACGAUGGGUACUAGGUGUUGGUG